rnacentral:lncRNA from 1 species
UUGAACUUUCAAGUACAAAGAAAAGAAGACUGCAGUACAUAGAAUCACCUUAAGAAACUUAAAGAAUUUGCUUAAUCUGAUUAGUACUGAAAGCAGGUGUACUGCGUAGUACAUGGUCAGUCCAAGUAUAAUCUGAUAGUACAUCUCUGUACUAUAACAAUAACCCUUGUGCUUUUAUGAUGUAUAAAAUCCCACAGGCAGCAUAUCCCCGAAGACCAUCAGGAAAGCCCUUAUUUGUUUUGGCUCAGUUGGUUGUUCUAUAGUUUGCCAACCGAGAAGGCAGUUUUUUUAUUGCAGGUACUAGCAUGGCAUCAUCAGUGGGAAGGUGUAAGGUAAAUAGAUUUUGAUUUGGGAUGUUGGGGAAGAAGGUACAGAAACAGACAGACAAAGACUGGGAACAGGCAGUGCAUGGAUGGGGCUACUAACAGAAAACAUCUGUUUUGGCUCUACCCCUGCACUGCCUCUUCCCUGGCUUCCGGUUCUUCUUUUUGUGAGCCUUCAUUUAUUUUAUUUUAUUGAGUUCUGAAAAUUUAUUUUUAACAAAGCAAAAGCAGAUUUGUUUAUUUUUAACUUUUGAUUUCGCAUUCUAACUAUACUAUGGUUGGAAUUGUCUGCACACGAUGCCUGAAAAACAAAUGAUCUUAGGAGGAAUUGGUAUCCUUAUUUUUGUCUAUAUCUUCUCUUUUUGCCAUCUUCCUUUGCUUGUAGGAAGCAGAUAAACAUGACCUGAUUUUUGUAAUGAAGCAAACAAUAAUUUAGUAGAGGAAAAUUAUGUUGAUAUGAUUGCAUAUUGAGAUUGAGUCAGUGCCACAUACUUCGUAGAUAGUGACGGAUUUCUACAUUGCAACUUUUAAUAAAUGUUCCUACUUUCGUCCUUAAUUUAUAUCGGGAUUGAGUUUGAAUGAUAUCCAUGCUAACUAACCAGUAUCUAUGAAUUAUGAAUGAUGAUUUCAUAAAUUCUGAUAGAUGAUGCAGGUUCCACUUUUUGUUCUGUUCUGGGAUCUUCACAUAUUGCUAUGAUCGAUCCAUGUGUAUUGGCCAAGGGAAUUUCUGCUUUGAUUUGCUAUGUUACAACAAAUUCUUCGAGGAGCAAACUUCCUUCCUCCCCAUGGAUUAAGGUGCCAAAAGGACCAGAAUUUUUGCUCCAGUUUAAUUUCAAUCCAUUGGAUCUUGAAAAAGGACCUCUCAAUAAUAAUUCUAUAAAAAGACUGUAAAAUGUUACUUGACAUAACAUAUAAAUAGAUGCAUCGCAAGUUUUGUUUUUCAAUACAAUUUCUUGUAAAAAGUGCCCCAUGAUUAAUCUCAUAAUGUACCUACUUCUACUCUUCAAUGUAGAUUUUCUUGGUUGCGAAAAGGGAUUAAUUUGCUCAGUAUGGUUUCUUUGUUUCUAUGAGCCACAAGUUCUUGUAUGGCUGCUUCUGUGGUAACAAUUUUUUGUAAUCAUUGUGAUUUUGUUUUAUAAGUUAUAAAUACUUCUUUGAGUUUAUUCAAUUCUGCACUUUUAUUUAAAGUAUUUAAAUACACCUUACCCAUGACUGUAGAGCCUGGAAAUUAUGCAUAACACGAAUGCCAACAUGGAGAGCAUCAACAUCUUUUCUUUUUCUUUUUCUUUUUUUCCUUUUUUCCU